rnacentral:lncRNA from 1 species
ACAUCUAGGGAAAACGUCAGGUAAAAAUAACAUGGCUAUGAAAGCUUUGUCCUGACCUAGAAAAAUAUAUUAAUCUUCAUGUCAUCAUCUGUCUUGAAUCGAAAGAUGUGGCUGCACCCAGGUGUGCUCACACUCCAUAUAUCAGCCCUAUUUUUUCGGAAUUCAGAUAGGGGUCUGACAGCUCGCAUAACUUUUGCAGUGCUUGGGUUGUAAUCACCCAAAAUUAGUACAUCUUCGAUUGCUUGGGAGCGAAACACAUCCAUUACUAUAAUAUAAUAAAAUCAUUUAAUCAAGCAAACUAUUAUUGAACCAUAUCUAAUGCGUAAUGGCAAUGCCAAACCUGUACGUGGGAGCAGUUGAUCUUAAAAUCACAGAUGGAUCAGUUGAGGGUGAAGAAGCCCGUCCUUCCGCUGGAACCGAUCUCUCCACUGAAAGAGCACUCAGCUGGGACUAUCAUUAAUCACAGCAGGCCUAGGACGAAGAGUGCAAAAGAGAUCACGGCCGAAUACUCCUUAGCGCACAAUGGCGAGGAAAUUGAGAUUACUACAACCAAUUUGUCUCGCUGAUAAUGUAGGAGAGAUGGAUCCGACUAUAGAAAGCAGCGGCGGCUUCCCGUAUGUUUGUCCUGGUGGUAAUAGCGAUCGAUCUAGCAGCUGGCUUCUUUGUUGG